CAGAUGUGUGAAAGAGGCACUGCAGACCGAACUCAGCGAGGCUGAGGACCACGCUCCACCUGGACACCCUUCAGGUGAACAUCAGAGUCAGAUGAUGUGAUCCUAGUAAGUUUGUCUUUGAUCCAAAGAAACACCUGUGCUGGAGCCAGUUUUACCUUCUGCCCCACCAGGAUUCAAAGUCCUGAAGGUCCAUUCUUUGGUUUCAAGAAGGCAGGACAUCAGGAACUUCCAUCAUGGGAGCAGGUUCAUUUCCAGAAAGAAAAUCCAGUCAGUUUUGCCAAAUGUGAGGAAAAGAGAAAUUGCAAAAAACAAAACAAAACAAAAAACCAAUAAAGC
rnacentral:lncRNA from 1 species